CAGAGGAGCCAAGCGUUGUCCGGAUUGACUGGGCGUAAAGCGCACGCAGGCGGUCGCGCGCGUGGGGUGUGAAAUCUGGCCGCUUAACGGCCAGGCGCCAUCCCAUACGGCGCGACUGGAGUGAUGCAGAGGUCGGUGGAAUUGCCGGUGUAGUGGUGAAAUGCGUAGAGAUCAGCAGGAACACCCAGGGGGAAACCAACCAACUGAGCAUCUACUGACGCUGAGGUGCGAGAGCGUGGGGAGCGAACCGGAUUAGAUACCCGGGUAGUCCACGCCGUAAACGAUGGCCACUCGGCCUUUGGUGGCGGAAUCUCCGUCGCUGGGGGCCUUAGCUAACGCGGGAAGUGGCCCGCCUGGGAACUACGAGCGCAAGCUUA
rnacentral:rRNA from 1 species